rnacentral:rRNA from 1 species
GGCGAACGCUGGCGGCGUGCCUAAUACAUGCAAGUCGAGCGAAGUUUUUCUGGUGCUUGCCCCGGAAAAACUUACCGGCGAACGGGUGAGUAACACGUAAAGAACCUGCCUCAUAGACUGGGACAACUAUUGGAAACGAUAGCUAAUACCGGAUAACAGCAUUAACUGCAUGGUUGAUGUUUAAAAGUUGGUUUUGCUAACACUAUGAGAUGGCUUUGCGGUGCAUUAGCUAGGUGGUGGGGUAAAGGCCUACCAAGGAGACGAUGCCUAGCCGACCUGAGAGGGUGAACGGCCACACUGGGACUGGGACACGGACCACACUCCUACGGGAGGCAGCAGUAUGGAAUCUUCCGCAAUGGGCGAAAGCCUGACGGAGCAACGCCACGUGAGUGAAGAAUGAUUUCGGUUCGUACAGCUCUGUUGUUAGAGAAGAAUGAUUGUGUAAUAACUAUACACGGUACAGACGGUACCUAACCAGAAAGCCACGGCUAACUACCUGCCAGCAGCCGCGGUAAUACGUACGUGGCAAGCGUUGUCCGGAAUUAUUGGGCGUAAAGCGCGCGCAGGUGGUUUAAUAAGUCUGAUGUGAAAGCCCACGGCUCAUCCGUGGAGGGUCAUUGGAAACUGUUAAACUUGAGUGCAGGAGAGAAAAGUGGAAUUCCUAGUGUAGCGGUGAAAUGCGUAGAGAUUAGGAGGAACACCGGUGGCGAAGGCGGCUUUUUGGCCUGUAACUGACACUGAGGCGCGAAAGCGUGGGGAGCAAACAGGAUUAAAUACCCUGGUAGUCCACGCCGUAAACGAUGAGUGCUAAGUGUUGGUCUCAUAACGAGAUCAGUGCUGCAGCUAACGCAUUAAGCACUCCGCCUGGGGAGUACGACCGCAAGGUUGAAACUCAAAGGAAUUGACGGGGACCCGCACAAGCGGUGGAGCAUGUGGUUUAUUUCGAAGCAACGCGAAGAACCUUACCCAGUCUUGACAUACUGUGAGGACACAAGAGAUUGUGUUGUUCUGACCUUUGGUUAGACACAGAUACAGGUGGUGCAUGGUUGUUGUCAGCUCGUGUCGUGAGAUGUUGGGUUAAGUCCCGCAACGAGCGCCACCCUUAUAUCUAGUUGCCAGCAGUAAGAUGGGGCCUUUAGAUAGACUGCCAGUGAUAAACCGGAGGAAGGUGGGGAUGACGUCAAAUCAUCAUGCCCCUUAUGACUUGGGCUACACACGUGCUACAAUGGAUAGGAACAAAGAGAAGCGAGCUCGCGAGAGCAAGCAAACCUCACAAAACUAUUCUCAGUUCGGAUUGUAGUCUGCAACUCGCCUACAUGAAGUUGGAAUCGCUAGUAAUCGCGAAUCAGAAUGUCGCGGUGAAUACGUUCCCGGGUCU